GAUGAAGAACGUAGCGAAAUGCGAUAAGUAAUGUGAAUUGCAGAAUUCAGUGAAUCAUCGAAUCUUUGAACGCACAUUGCGCCCCUUGGUAUUCCGAGGGGCAUGCCUAUUCGAGCGUCAUUAUCACCCCUCAAGCCUAGCUUGGUGUUGAGGCCUGCUGUCAAGGCAGCCUCUAAAAUCAGUGGCAGUGCUGUCAGGCUCUAAGCGUAGUAAAUCUAAUCGCUAUAGACACCUGGUGGACACUCGCCAGAACCCCCCCAUUUUCUAAUGAUUGACCUCGGAUUAGGUAGGGAUACCCGCUGAACUUAAGCAUAUCAAUAAGCGGAGGA
rnacentral:misc_RNA from 1 species